rnacentral:rRNA from 1 species
GACGAACGCUGGCGGCGUGCUUAACACACGCCAGUCGAACGGUAAGGCUCCAGCUUUCUGGGGUCCACGAGUGGCGAACGGGUGAGUAACACGUGGGUGACCUGCCCUGCACUUCGGGAUAACCCUAGGAAACUGGGUCUAAUACCGGAUAGGACCAUGGUGUGCAUACUGUGGUUUAGAGUUUUUUCGGUGUGGGAUGGGCUCGCGGCCUAUCAGCUUGUUGGUGGGGUAUUGGCCUACCAAGGCGGCGACGGGUAGCCGGCCUGAGAGGGUGGACGGCCACAUUGGGACUGAGACACGGCCCAGACUCCUACGGGAGGCAGCAGUGGGGAAUAUUGCACAAUGGGCGGAAGCCUGAUGCAGCGACGCCGCGUGGGGGAUGACGGCCUUCGGGUUGUAAACUCCUUUCACCAGUGACGAAGGGUGUGUGACGGUAGAGGGAGAAGAAGCACCGGCUAACUACGUG